UGGGGAAUAUUGCGCAAUGGGCGAAAGCCUGAUGCAGCAAUGCCGCGUGUGUGAAGAAGGCCUGCGGGUUGUAAAGCACUUUCAGUAGGGAGGAAACAGUGGCAGGUUAAUAACCUGCUGCCUUGACGUUACCUACAGAAGAAGCACCGGCUAACUCUGUGCCAGCAGCCGCGGUAAUACAGAGGGUGCAAGCGUUAAUCGGAAUUACUGGGCGUAAAGCGUGCGUAGGCGGCUUGGUCAGUCGGAUGUGAAAGCCCCGGGCUUAACCUGGGAAUUGCAUUCGAUACUGCCAGGCUAGAGUGUAGUAGAGGGAAGCGGAAUUCCAGGUGUAGCGGUGAAAUGCGUAGAUAUCUGGAGGAACAUCAGUGGCGAGGGCGGCUUCCUGGACUAACACUGACGCUGAGGUGCGAAAGCGUGGGUAGCAAACAGGAUUAGAUACCCUGGUAGUCCACGCCGUAAACGAUGUCAAC
rnacentral:rRNA from 1 species